GUCCCUGUAGCGCUUUGGAUAGUGCGUUGAACUUCUAAUCCAAAGGUCAUGGGUUCGAAUCCCACCUGGGAUG